UACAGAGGUGGCAAGCGUUGUUCGGAAUUACUGGGCGUAAAGGGCGCGUAGGCGGUUCGUUAAGUCCUGUGUGAAAUCCCCCCGGCUCAACUGGGGAACUGCACAGGAAACUAGCGGGCUUGAGUUCGGGAGAGGGAAGCGGAAUUCCGGGUGUAGCGGUGAAAUGCGGUAGAUAUCCGGAGGAACACCGGUGGCGAAGGCGGCUUCC
rnacentral:rRNA from 1 species